AUUUCCAUGAUGCAAUGAAAAUUGUUAGCAUUUUAUUCAACUUAUCAUCUAAAUUUCUAUCAGAAAAUCAUUCAUAAGAUCUUCUAAAGCUACCUUCAUUAGUUUCCCAAUGUUUUCGUCCAGCGGAGUGUCUCCACAGGUUGGAGGGUUACUGUCCGGUGCAGCAUCAUUAUUAGGCAAUGCCAAACAUGCUGCCUCAGCAAGAUGUAUGACGUAUCUUCAAAAGAAAAGCUGGAAAUCUCUAUCUAAAGACUUAACAACAACAACUACGACAUCAACAACACAAAAACAAGAAACUCAGCCAGAAUCACCCAUUAUUGCUGAGUUAGAGAGGUCCUGUAAUAGAAUUCUUGAUGACUUGGGUCUUAGAGGUCUACCAAAGGACUGGCAAAAACAAAUAAUUACUCCCCUGUCAAUUCCAGCGCAAUCAGAUUGCCGACCAUGGCUUGUGUCUCAUGUCUCUGCAAACAGCUUUUUUGAAAACAAACAUGGUUUUUCUGAAGAUGGGACCAAACUGAUCAAGCCAAGAGAUACUCAUUAUAAUCCAUAUUUUACAUCAUUGUCCAGAUUACUUCAGCCAAAUAGAUCAAUAAAUGUGAAUCAGAAGAGAUUUGUACAACAUGGAAUGAGUAGUAGAAUUCAGAUACUUGAAGAAAGAGCAAAUUAUGAAGAGGAUAACCCAAAAGCACAAGCAGAUUAUUUGAGAGCCAUGGUAACAGAAGACCCUCAGUAUGUCAUCAGAAGAUAUGAAAGUGGACGUUACGCUAUUGACGAGUCUGUGAAGAGAGAAUACCUCAAGGCCUUGGUUCUUGCUGAAAAAAUUGACUCCGAUGACCUGGAGAAGGUUUCCAGGACAGGUCAUUAUGGUUAUCCGAAGGGGACGUCCUAUGCUGCAGAACCAACCAGAAAGGCCAAAGAUAGCAGAUAUGAUGGCUCUGAAGAUACUCCACUACAUGUUGUAGUACAGAGUCAGAAAGGUGCAUUCUUCAAGGAGCAGAUGUGGAAUACCAUUCGAUUCUUGAUUGCUUUAUUUUUGAUUCUCUCUGUCAUUGAAGCACAACUUCAGAUGAAAAUGACAACCAAUCAGAAGGAGAUAACUCCUGAUAAUGUGGAUAGGAAGUUCAGAUUUAAUGAUGUUCAAGGGGUUGAUGAAGCCAAAGAGGAACUCCAAGAAGUUGUGGAUUUUCUUCGCAAUCCUGAUAAGUUUAAGAGGCUUGGUGGCAAGCUGCCUACUGGUGUCUUACUGAUUGGCUCACCUGGUACAGGCAAGACUCUACUGGCCAAGGCAGUAGCUGGAGAAGCUGGUGUGCCUUUCUUCUUUUGUUCUGGAUCUGAGUUUGAUGAGAUGUUUGUUGGCGUUGGAGCAGCAAGAGUCAGAAACCUCUUUGCUGCCGCAAGGGAGCAUGCACCUUGCAUAGUGUUUGUAGAUGAGCUGGAUGCGAUUGGUGGAACUCGUAUUGUUAAUGAUCACCAGCCUUACUCAAGGAUGACACUUAACCAACUGCUGGUUGAGCUUGAUGGUUUUGACAAGUCUGAAGGAAUUGUUGUAAUAGGAGCAACAAACUUCCCAGAAAUCUUGGACAAGGCGCUAAUCAGACCUGGUCGGUUUGAUACCAAAAUCUCGGUACCAAUGCCAGACAUCAAGGCACGUUUCCAUAUACUGAAGGUUCACCUCAAGAAUGUCACUGUAGCUGAUGACGUUGAUAUAGAAGUGCUAGCCAGGGGUACAUCAGGUUUUUCAGGUGCUGAUCUUGCUAACCUAGUCAAUCAAGCAGCAGUCAAAGCAGCCACAAGUGGGGACCCUUAUGUAUCAACCAAACACCUGGAGUUUGCUAAAGAUAAGAUCAUCAUGGGUCCAGAACGCAAGAGUGCCGUAAUCAAUGCAGAAAACAAGAAAAUAGUGGCAUACCAUGAGGGGGGUCACGCUCUGGUUGCUUACUACACCCCUGGUUCUCUUCCUCUUCACAAAGCCACCAUCAUGCCUCGUGGACAGGCCUUGGGAAUGGUUGCACAGAUCCCAGAAACAGAUGACCUCCAAUGGACCAAGAAACAGCUGUUAGCCAAGCUGGAUGUGUGUAUGGCAGGGCGUGUGGCUGAAGAGAUUAUCUUUGGUAAAGAUCAUGUUACAACAGGAGCGUCGAGUGACUCACAGCAAGCCACAGCUAUAGCAAAAGCAAUGGUCACUAACUACUGUAUGAGUGAUAAGCUUGGAAUGUUUCAAAUCAAGGACACAGACCACUUAAGCCCAGAGACCCAAGCGAUAAUCGAAAAUGAAAUCAAGAGAUUAUUGUCGGAGGCAUAUGAACGAGCAAAAAAUAUUCUCGUAACAAAAUCAAAAGAACACAAACUUCUAGCAGAAGCCUUACUAAAGUAUGAAACCUUAGAUGCUACAGAAAUCAAGCUAGUCUUGCAAGGACAGCCACUCACAAGGCAGUUAUAAAGAUAUGGAUUACAACCUGUCUUCGAAAAAGUAUUGAUCAAUUAGAACAAUAAACAACUGUAUGAUGCCAGAAUCAAGUAAUACUUGUUGUAAACAUCCCAUACAAGUUAUAAGGUCUCUCCCCCUUAGUAGUAAUUAUGUACUAUGAUGUAAAAAUGUACACUGGAGAAACUAUAGAAUAAAACAAAAAACAAAAACAAAACAAAGCAAAACAAAACAAAAAAAGGAAAAAAGAAAGCAAGAAAAAGAGAGAAGGAAAGAAAGAACUGAAAAGAAAUGUUAUACGCCGCUAUGUUUUGUUCAUCAGAAAAUCCAAUUCUGACCUGGAUUUUAUGACGUAACAACUUAGGUGAAGUGAAUAUAUAAAGGUUCAAACGCUAGGACGAGGUCUUGAAUUCUAAUGCAAAACCGAGCCCGUGCGUUUGAACUGGUUUAAAAUAUCAACUAAGCCCUAAAUUCCAUUGUUUCGAUGCAAAACACGAAAUACUAAAUUGUAGUGAAUUCAGAGGUAGAUUACUGUUGCUUUGUUCUUUUGGAAAUAGAGUGCUUACGAUAUAUCCAUGUUAUUAAAAACCUAUCCCGGGUUUAUAAUUCAGCCCCGUUCUCCCCUGUUGAUAUCAAUUCCGCCGCCGGCUUUAAGAAUCUGGGUUUUUCGCCGAAUUUAAGAACCUACAUCAAACAAUGGAUUUAGGGUGUGGUUGAUUUUUAACGGUGAGUAUUUACCGAGAGGUGGGUCAAGUUACCAUUUUCACUUUGUCUUCUGAGAAUAAUUGUUUGAGCAUGAUUUAAGACUCGAAUAUCGGAGACAACACGAAAUUCAGGAAUAAUUAAAUACGUUUUUAAAUAUUA
rnacentral:misc_RNA from 1 species